rnacentral:rRNA from 1 species
GUACUUACUCCUACGGGAGGCAGCAGUGGGGAAUCUUCCGCAAUGGGCGAAAGCCUGGCGGAGCAACGCCGCGUGAGUGAUGACGGCCUUCGGGUUGUAAAACUCUGUGAUCCGGGACGAAAAGGCAGAGUGCGAAGAACAAACUGCAUUGACGGUACCGGAAAAGCAAGCCACGGCUAACUACGUGCCAGCAGCCGCGGUAAUACGUAGGUGGCAAGCGUUGUCCGGAAUUAUUGGGCGUAAAGCGCGCGCAGGCGGCUUCCCAAGUCCCUCUUAAAAGUGCGGGGCUUAACCCCGUGAUGGGAAGGAAACUGGGAAGCUGGAGUAUCGGAGAGGAAAGUGGAAUCCCUAGUGUAGCGGUGAAAUGCGUAGAGAUUAGGAAGAACACCGGUGGCGAAGGCGACUUUCUGGACGAAAACUGACGCUGGGGCGCGAAAGCGUGGGGAGCAAACAGGAUUAGAUACCCGUGUAGUCCAGGCAU